rnacentral:lncRNA from 1 species
GUCAGUGCUCAGCUCCUGAUUUCCCUGUGGACACCCAGAGGCUACAAGACAGGCUGCGGGAGAUGCCGGGUGUUCUUCUGAAUGACUGGGGGCUGACGGGUUAGUCGGGAGCUUGGUGUUCCUCCAGGACUGUUUCCACCUGAAGGCAGUCACUGCAGCAACAUGUACGGGUUUAUCAACACCUGUCUACAAUCCCUUGUGACAGA